CACAGUCUGUCACAAGGAAAAACUAUAAAUCCUUGAUAUUCUUAUUUUAGGCUAAAUUUGUUUACCUGUCUGUUCAGAUGCGACACAAGAGCUUUAUUUAAUGUGACUAUGGCCACAAGCUAAACAAUUCUGGGACACAACCAUGAAUCAUCUCAGAUUUUCAAGGAAGGAGUGACCAGAGGGUAUCGGAGGAGUACAGGGUGCAUGCUAGAGAUUCUCCAGUGGGCCCUGAAAACCUGGGGCAC